GCUUGUCUCAAAGAUUAAGCCAUGCAUGUCUAAGUAUAAACGACUUUAUACAGUGAAACUGCGAAUGGCUCAUUAAAUCAGUUAUAGUUUAUUUGAUAAUACCUUACUACUUGGAUAACCGUGGUAAUUCUAGAGCUAAUACAUGCGCCCAAACCCAACUUCUUGGAAGGGUUGUGUUUAUUAGAUACAGAACCAACCCAGGCUCCGCCUGGCCUUGAGGUGAUUCACAAUAACCGAACGAAUCGCAUAGCUGCCGCUGGCGAUAGACCAUUCAAGUUUCUGACCUAUCAGCU
rnacentral:rRNA from 1 species